rnacentral:rRNA from 1 species
CAGCCGCCGCGGUAAUUCCGGCGGCCCUAGUGGCGGCCACUAUUAUUGGGCUUAAAGCGUCCGUAGCCGGGUUGGUUAGUCUCCCGGGAAAUCUGGCCGCUUAACGGUCAGAAUUCCGGGAGAUACUGCCAGCCUAGGGACCGGGAGAGGCCGAGGGUAUUCCCGGAGUAGGGGUGAAAUCCUAUAAUCCCGGGAGGACCACCUGUGGCGAAGGCGCUCGGCUGGAACGGGUCCGACGGUGAGGGACGAAGGCCAGGGGAGCAAACCGGAUUAGAUACCCGGGUAGUCCUGGCUGUAAACGAUGCGGACUUUGUGUCGGACAAGCUAUGAGCUUGUCCGGUGCCGGAGGGAAACCGUUAAGUCCGCCGCCUGGGGAGUACGGCCGCAAGGCUGAAACUUAAAGGAAUUGGCGGG